rnacentral:lncRNA from 1 species
UACUUCAUACCACAUAAUACUAAGUAAGUAUAUCGACACUGACUUAUAAAUAUUUAUGGUAAUUAUGCUUAUAAUUCUGACUUUAGUUUUUUUUUGUUGUAACAGUCAGCAUUGGAUUUUGGCUAUAAUUUGGGAUGGUGAAAUUUAUAUUCUCAAUUCAUUGUCUCAUCCGACCCAAUUUCCCAAACUGGAAAAAGCCCUGAUAGAGUAAUCUUUUAUUUACUGUCAUAAUAUAUAUAUAUAUAUAUAAUAUAUUCACAUGUCUUGGGCUCUGACAUGAUAAAUUAACAGGGCGGUCAAGAGUUUCAAUGCCCAGACAGGCAGGACCAGCACAAUGCCUAAAGUAAAAAAUCUUCUUGUAAGUAUCUUCUUUUUUUUACAAUUUAAAUUAAUGGUCAUUUUAUGUCUGAGAAAAUGUACCUUUUUUUAUUGGCAUAGGGAACUCCGAAACAGCCAUCGGGCUAUGAAUGUGCGUAUGCAGUAAUGCGGU